UGAUACGCGAGGAACCUUACCUGGGCUCAAAUGUAUGUUGACGUAUUACUGAAAGGGAUACUUCUUCGGACAAUAUACAAGGUGCUGCAUGGUUGUCGUCAGCUCGUGCCGUGAGGUGUCGGGUUAAGUCCCAUAACGAGCGCAACCCCUAUCAUUAGUUGCCAUCAGGUCAAGCUGGGGACUCUAAUGAAACUGCCUACGCAAGUAGUGAGGAAGGUGGGGAUGACGUCAAAUCAGCACGGCCCUUACGUCCAGGGCUACACACGUGCUACAAUGGCCGGUACAAAGGGCAGCUACCUGGUGACAGGAUGCUAAUCUCAAAAGCCGGUCUCAGUUCGGAUCGGAGUCUGCAACCCGACUCCGUGAAGUUGGAUUCGCUAGUAAUCGCGCAUCAGCCAUGGCGCGGUGAAUACGUUCCCGGGCCUU
rnacentral:rRNA from 1 species